rnacentral:miRNA from 1 species
UCUCUCUCUCUCUCUCUCUCUCUUUCUUUCUCUCUCUCUCUCUUUCUCUCUUUGGAAGCAGAGUGAGAAUUCUUGGAGAUAAGAAUGCUUGGAGAGAAAGAGAGAGAGAGAGAGAGAGAGA